UGCAUUGUGUAACAUGGUAGUGUGUGGUGUAACAUGGUAGUACAUGGUGUAAUAGGGUAGUGCGUGGUGUAAUAGGGUAGCGUGUGGUGUAACAUGGUAGUACGUGGUGUAAUAGGGUAGCGCAUGGUGUAAUAGGGUAGCGCGUGGUGUAACAUGGUAGUACAUGUGUAAUAGGGGUAGUGCAUUGUGUAACAUGGUAGUACAUGGUGUAAUAGGGUAGCGCGUGGUGUAAUAGGGUAGCGCGUGGUGUAACAUGGUAGUACAUGGUGUAAGAGGGUAUUGGAUUGUGUAAUAGGGUAGUGUAAUGCAUUGUGUAACAUGGUAGUACAUGGUUUAAGAGAGUACUGCACAGUGUGCGAGGGUAGUGCAUAGUGUAACAUGGUAGUACAUGGUGUAAGAGUAUAGUGCACAGUGUAAGGCUCUUCAUCUCCCUCCACUGGCUUCCGGUAGCCGCCCGUAGCAAAUUCAAUGCAUUGUUGCUCACGUACAAGACCUUGUCUGGAACAGCACCACCCCACCUCAACACUCCUUGAAGUUUAUGUUCCCUCACGCAACCUGCGCUCGGUUAACCACCGACGCCUGGUAGUGCCUACUCAGCGAGGCAUGAGGUCCCUUUCCAGAACCUUCACACUGACUGUCCCUCAGCGGUGGAAUGAACUUCCAACCUCAACCCGGACAGCAGAAUGUGUCACUUAUCUCCAAAAAACGGCUAAAGACCCACCUCUUCCGUGAGCACUGAACUAUAACCCCUACGUAACCCUAGCUAAGUAUUUUUUUUCCCUGAAUACGGUCGGAAGGUCUUUUUUAGGUGGGAGAUACAGGCUUCAUGUUUACUUUCCUGCACAGUGUGCUUGAUUGAACUGAUUGGCCAAUAGCCAAAAAUGUGCAGCAUUCCGGAAACCGCUAACCUUCAACAAAGCGGUGAAUCUUAAGCACAAACGCUGUUUGCCUGUGGUUAGUCACUUUAAGCUGCUUCACACCGUUUGACCUGAAAAGAGCCCCAGCUGCAGAUGGAAUCGCUCUGUCUUUCCUUCCUUCCUCUCCCACUCUCCGUAAGAGCAAUCGGAGGGGAAACGGACGCGGAGGAAUGCGCUGAAGAAUCCGGAUGUCCGUUCCCAGACCCGACAUGCCACUGUGCAUCCUCAGCAGCAUUUUUAUGCUUAUUCUUUUUGGCAGACGGCUUUUAACCGAGACACGUUACGAGCGAAAGAGGAUAGAGGCCAAGCACAAAGCUGAUACGUUCUCGCUCAAGGGCGCAACUCUGGUAGAUCUUGGACUUGGCCUCACCGCCUUGUGGUCACUAAUAGAGAACUUUGACGGCGCUCCGACUGCCUCCCUCACUGGCAACAGUACAAUCCAGUACAGGUCAGGUCUGAUUUUAAGAAUCCAGAAUCCAGAGAUGCCAAAUUGUACAGUUUAGUCUGGAGUCAUAUGAAAGACUUUUGGCAGCGCUUAUUUUGGCUUCCGACGUAAUCUAUAUCAAAUUCGACCUGUGGAUUGACAAGCCUCGGGCUUGUGAGCCAAUAGAAACCAAGUGGGCGGGGUUGUGGUCUCUUCGGUCCCUAAAAAUUGGAGGAACUCUUACUAAAAAAAAAAGCCACCAAAUCCACCAACAUGUGCAAGGGCUUUUUGUGGUUGCGAUGUAUUUUAUUCUCCCCGCGCGCUUGGAUUUUCUCGUUAGAAUAUCGGCACCUCGGCGAAUCCGACCCGGAGUCGCUCGGUCCUUCAGAGAUACCCGCACAUUAUAUUUAUCCGUCGGUGAGCGGUAAUUAAAUGCCGCGAUGCGGAUCGACCUCGGCAGAGUACGAGCUAACGCGGGAUCGCUUUCCCGGGUUUCUCCGUCGACGGACUCAUUUCGACCCGAAAUUCACCGCGGUAAUUCACCGUGACAUGCUUCCCCUCGAAGCAAA
ensembl:lncRNA